GGCUGGAUCACCUCCUUUUGAGCAUGACGUCAUCGUCCUGUCGGGCGUCCUCACAAAUUACCUGCAUUCAGAGAUGCGUAUCGGCACAGGCCGGUAUGCGAAAGUCCCAUCAUGGGGCCUUAGCUCAGCUGGGAGAGCACCUGCUUUGCAAGCAGGGGGUCGUCGGUUCGAUCCCGACAGGCUCCACCAUUUGAGUGAAACGACUUUGGGUCUGUAGCUCAGGUGGUUAGAGCACACCCCUGAUAAGGGUGAGGUCGGUGGUUCGAGUCCUCCUAGACCCACCACUCUGAAUGUAGUGCACACUUAAGAAUUUAUAUGGCUCAGCCGUUGAGGCUGAGACAUGUUCUUUUACAACUUGUGACGUAGCGAGGACCGUUUGAGAUAUCUAUCUAAACGUGUCGUUGAGGCUAAGGCGGGCACUUCAAGUCCCUAGAAAUUAGAGUCGUAUCCGUUGGUGGCUUUGGUACCACACGCAACACGGCGUUAUGGCCCCGAGGCAACUUGGGGUUAUA
rnacentral:tRNA from 1 species